UGGGGAAUAUUGGACAAUGGAGGAAACUCUGAUCCAGCAAUUCUGUGUGUGUGAAGAAGGUUUUAGGACUGUAAAACACUUUUAGUAGGGAAGAAAAAAAUGACGGUACCUACAGAAGAAGCAACGGCUAAAUACGUGCCAGCAGCCGCGGUAAUACGUAUGUUGCGAGCGUUAUCCGGAAUUACUGGGCGUAAAGAGCUCGUAGGCGGUUUGUCACGUCGUCUGUGAAAUCCUAGGGCUUAACCCUGGACGUGCAGGCGAUACGGGCUGACUUGAGUACUACAGGGGAGACUGGAAUUUCUGGUGUAGCGGUGGAAUGCACAGAUAUCAGGAAGAACACCGAUGGCGAAGGCAGGUCUCUGGGUAGUAACUGACGCUGAGGAGCGAAAGCAUGGGUAGCGAACAGG
rnacentral:rRNA from 1 species